rnacentral:rRNA from 1 species
UACGGAGGGGGCGAGCGUUAUUCGGAAUUACUGGGCGUAAAGGGCGCGUAGGCGGCCUGUUAAGUCGAACGUGAAAUCCCCGGGCUCAACCCGGGAACUGCGUCCGAUACUGGCAGGCUUGAAUCCGGGAGAGGGAUGUGGAAUUCCAGGUGUAGCGGUGAAAUGCGUAGAUAUCUGGAGGAACACCGGUGGCGAAGGCGGCAUCCUGGACCGGCAUUGACGCUGAGGCGCGAAAGCUAGGGGAGCAAACGGG